CAAUGGCAGGAGACACCAUGAGAUGUUUUCUACUGUAGAAACUUUCUCAUUAGAAAUAGCCCAUUUAUACAGGGGACUGGCUAAUGUUUUUCUAUGAGUAUCAUUAGCCAGUGUCUCAAAGUGGUGAAGAGUAAGUAUAUAGCAUCUUUCAAAAGACUGCAACCUGGAACAAGGAGAGACAAAGGGAAGGAGGAGUCUGGAGCCAUAUUGAAGAUGAAAUUGAGAUAUGGACUAGGUGGUGGAUCGUUUUUAUAAGAGGACAUAAAAGAGGAUGCUAAAGCUAAUUGCCACAAUCAGAACUCAAAGACCUAGCAAAUGCAAGGAUACAAUAAGAAGUCAGCAGUCUGCAACCCAGAAGAGGACCCUCACUGGAACCCAGGAAUGUUGGCACUCUGAACUUAGAUUUUCCAGCCUCUAGAAUGGAAAACAACAGGAUU
rnacentral:lncRNA from 1 species